rnacentral:rRNA from 1 species
ACUAUUUGGAAUGGGGGUGCUAUACAUGCNAGUCGAGCGAACGGAUAAGGAGCUUGCUCCUUUGAAGUUAGCGGCGGACGGGUGAGUAACACGUGGGUAACCUACCUAUAAGACUGGAAUAACUUCGGGAAACCGGAGCUAAUGCCGGAUAACAUAUAGAACCGCAUGGUUCUAUAGUGAAAGAUGGUUUUGCUAUCACUUAUAGAUGGACCCGCGCCGUAUUAGCUAGUUGGUAAGGUAAUGGCUUACCAAGGCGACGAUACGUAGCCGACCUGAGAGGGUGAUCGGCCACACUGGAACUGAGACACGGUCCAGACUCCUACGGGAGGCAGCAGUAGGGAAUCUUCCGCAAUGGGCGAAAGCCUGACGGAGCAACGCCGCGUGAGUGAUGAAGGUUUUCGGAUCGUAAAACUCUGUUAUUAGGGAAGAACAAAUGCGUAAGUAACUGUGCGCAUCUUGACGGUACCUAAUCAGAAAGCCACGGCUAACUACGUGCCAGCAGCCGCGGUAAUACGUAGGUGGCAAGCGUUAUCCGGAAUUAUUGGGCGUAAAGCGCGCGUAGGCGGUUUCUUAAGUCUGAUGUGAAAGCCCACGGCUCAACCGUGGAGGGUCAUUGGAAACUGGGAAACUUGAGUGCAGAAGAGGAAAGUGGAAUUCCAUGUGUAGCGGUGAAAUGCGCAGAGAUAUGGAGGAACACCAGUNGCGAACGCGACUUUCUGGUCUGUAACUGACGCUGAUGUGCGAAAGCGUGGGGAUCAAACAGGAUUAGAUACCCUGGUAGUCCACGCCGUAACGAUGAGUGCUAAGUGUUAGGGGGUUUCCGCCCCUUAGUGCUGCAGCUAACGCAUUAAGCACUCCGCCUGGGGGAGUACGACCGCAAGGUUG